GACGAACGCUGGCGGCGUGCUUAACACAUGCAAGUCGAACGGAAAGGCCCCUUUGGGGGUACUCGAGUGGCGAACGGGUGAGUAACACGUGAGUAACCUGCCCUUGACUUCGGGAUAACUUCAGGAAACUGGGGCUAAUACCGGAUAGGAAUCCUUGCUGCAUGGUGGGGGUUGGAAAGCUUCGGCGGUUUUGGAUGGACUCGCGGCUUAUCAGCUUGUUGGUGGGGUAGUGGCUUACCAAGGCUUUGACGGGUAGCCGGCCUGAGAGGGCGACCGGCCACAUUGGGACUGAGAUACGGCCCAGACGCCUACGGGAGGCAGAAGUGGGGAAUAUUGCACAAGGGGCGGAAGCCGGAUGCAGCAACGCCGCGGGCGGGAUGACGGCCUUCGGGUUGUAAACCGCUUUCAGCAGGGGCGAAGCUUGUGGUGACGGUACCUGAAGAAGAAGCACCGGCUAACUACGUG
rnacentral:rRNA from 1 species